CUUCCUCUUCCUCUUCCUCUUCCUCUUCCUCUUCCUCUUCCUCUUCUAGAAACUAAUAGUUUCUAGAAGCCCUUAACCUAGGGCUCAUUUCUACUUUCACUGUUCGAACAUUUCCUGGUCUUAGAUUUUGACUGAUAUCACACCUGCUAUAAGUUCUUAUGUGGA
rnacentral:miRNA from 1 species